rnacentral:pre_miRNA from 1 species
AAGUCCAGACAAGUGUUUUCUGUAUAUUUAGAUAAUGUAGAAAACCUUAUCUGGAUUUGU